CACAGCCAAGCUGGUUUGAGAGCAGGGCCGUCCUGACUCUUAGAGGACACAGGACAUCGGCUCCGGGGCCGUCCAUUGGGAAAGGAUGUACCUGGAGCCAGGGCAGGACAAGCCGUGGGCUUGGAGAAGAUGACUUGGCUCCACCUUCCGGCUGGACAGAGCUGCCUUCCCAAUCUGCUGCCUCCUCCUUUGAGCACCCACUAUGUGCCGGGUGCUUCAUAUUUGCCGCCUCUUAACCCACACCACCACCCUCCACAGAAGAGAACAGUCUCCAUUUUGCAAGUGAAAAAAACUAAAGUUCAGAGAGGUUAGGAUGCAGCCUUGGUGCCCAAAGAUGGAGCUGCCUGCUUACGACCAUGGGGAUUAAAGACACAGCUGGCGAUGGUGCCAUCGGGAAGCUGGGAGGAGCCUGGUUCCUGACGGCUCCUUGAAGCCCUGGUAUCAGCCUGGCAGCUGCCAACCUUGAGAGUCCUCGUGACAGGAGGAAAAUAAGGCCAUAUUGGUUAAGCUGCUGUGGUUAGCGCAUGAAGCAAACCGAAUUGUAACCAAUGCGAUUCUAAUUAAAGACAAUG